GACGAACGCUGGCGGCGUGCUUAACACAUGCAAGUCGAACGGAAAGGCCCUGCUUGCGGGGUACUCGAGUGGCGAACGGGUGAGUAACACGUGGGUGAUCUGCCCUGCACUUCGGGAUAAGCCUGGGAAACUGGGUCUAAUACCGGAUAGGAGCCAUUUUUAGUGUGAUGGUUGGAAAGUUUUUUCGGUGUAGGAUGAGCUCGCGGCCUAUCAGCUUGUUGGUGGGGUAAUGGCCUACCAAGGCGGCGACGGGUAGCCGGCCUGAGAGGGUGGACGGCCACAUUGGGACUGAGAGACGGCCCAGACUCCGACGGGAGGCAGCAGUGGGGAAUAUUGCACAAUGGGCGCAAGCCGGAUGCAGCGACGCCGCGUGGGGGAUGACGGACUUCGGGUUGGAAACUCCUUUCGCUAGGGACGAAGCUUUUUGUGACGGUACCUAGAUAAGAAGCACCGGCUAACUACGUG
rnacentral:rRNA from 1 species